rnacentral:rRNA from 1 species
ACUGCUAUUGGGAUUCGACUAAGCCAUGCGAGUCUAUGGACUUCGGUCCAUGGCGGACGGCUCAGUAACACGUGGUUAACCUACCCUUAGGUGGGGGAUAACCUUGGGAAACUGAGGAUAAUACCCCAUAGGAAAAGAGGUUUGGAAUAAUCCUUUUCUGAAAGGACAUCCGCCUAAGGAUGGGACUGCGUCUGAUUAGGUAGUUGGUGGGGUAAUGGCCCACCAAGCCUACGAUCAGUACGGGCCUUGAGAGAGGGAGCCCGGAGAUGGGGACUGAGACACGGCCCCAGGCCCUACGGGGCGCAGCAGGCGCGAAACCUCCACAAUGCACGAAAGUGCGAUGGGGGAAUCCCAAGUGCCUAUGUAAAACAUAGGCUUUUCCCAAGUUUAAACAACUUGGGGAAU